rnacentral:sRNA from 1 species
UAUUUUGAGACGAUGAGCAGAUGCAUCAAGAUUAAUGGUUGCACUAAAAGUGGAGC